AAAAUGCGAUAAGUAAUGUGAAUUGCAGAAUUCAGUGAAUCAUCGAAUCUUUGAACGCACAUUGCGCCCGCCAGUAUUCUGGCGGGCAUGCCUGUUCGAGCGUCAUUUCAACCCUCAAGCUCAGCUUGGUGUUGGGACUCGCGGUAACCCGCGUUCCCCAAAUCGAUUGGCGGUCACGUCGAGCUUCCAUAGCGUAGUAAUCAUACACCUCGUUACUGGUAAUCGUCGCGGCCACGCUGUAAAACCCCAACUUCUGAAUGUUGACCUCGGAUCAGGUAGGAAUACCCGCUGAACUUAAGC
rnacentral:misc_RNA from 1 species